GGGGAAUAUUGGGCAAUGGGCGAAAGCCUGACCCAGCAACGCCGCGUGAAGGAAGAAGGCCCUCGGGUUGUAAACUUCUUUUAUUCGGGACGAAACAAAUGACGGUACCGAAUGAAUAAGCCACGGCUAACUACGUGCCAGCAGCCGCGGUAAUACGUAGGUGGCGAGCGUUGUCCGGAAUUACUGGGCGUAAAGGGCGCGUAGGCGGCUCUUUAAGUUAGAUGUGAAAACCCAGGGCUCAACCCUGGGAGUGCAUUUAAAACUGAAGGGCUCGAGUGCAGGAGAGGUAAGUGGAAUUCCUAGUGUAGCGGUGAAAUGCGUAGAUAUUAGGAGGAACACCAGUGGCGAAGGCGACUUACUGGACUGUAACUGACGCUGAGGCGCGAAAGCGUGGGGAGCAAACA
rnacentral:rRNA from 2 species